rnacentral:lncRNA from 1 species
GUUUGAAAAAGCUGUCUGAAAUUGUUGAUCUUUUUCGUGACAGCAGAAUCACCUGAACUGGGUUGCUUACAGCUCAAAAUAGAAUUUGCUUGGGAAAUAAGAAUGCAAUGAUCUCUUAAUCUUCAAGUGUGGUUCAAAAGUUUUGGCGGGGAAGGCACUAAAAGAAUAUGGCUGUGUUCCAGGAAUGAAAAAGAAGUAUUGUCACGGUGAAAAUAAAGUGAUGACCAAUGAAUAAAAAGAAGAUCAAGAUGUCUCAGAAACUGUUGGCCAAAUGCAAUGCAAUAAGGAUUGUUUCAUUAUGAAAGAUGAUGGGGCAAUGGACAUAAGGCAGGGUGGGCAGAAAUUCUGCCAUCUGGCAUGGGUUGUGAAACCAUGGUUUGGGCAUCACCACAUUUUGGAAAGAAGGCUGUUGGACUCUCUUUAAGGUUAGUAAGUGAUGUCUGUAAGGAGUUAAUUUCAAUCUCUCUAGUUUUGCAUGUCAGGUAGUCACCCAGUUACACCUCAGUCACUAUGUCAUUUUCCAUUCACUCUAGCUAUCCCAUGAUGGUUUGCCACAUAUAGAUUCAGAAAUUGACUGUCAAGUUGUUCUUUAUACCGUGUUUUAUUGCCAUACAUGAAACAGCAUUGACUUUCC